CACGGCCUGGGAAAAUCAAAGCGAAUCACGUUGACGCAGGCCUCACAGAGGGACAGAGUUUGACUGCGGGACUCAGCCUGAGGCAGGGGACAGAAUCCCUGAGUGUGCUCCUGGCCAGUGGCUUCAUCUCUCAUCUCUCUGUGACUCUGUUUUCUUUAGCUGUCUAUGGAAAGAAUAAGCAUGAGAAGCAUUCAAUUUGAUUCAAACUGAAGCACUGCACCUGCUUUGUGUGAGACACUUUAGCCACCUCAGGGGUACACACACAAAAGCCCACUGUCCCUGCCCUCAAGGAGCCUAUCAUAUAAUGACAGUCACUAAAAUUUGAAGAUCUCUUUACAGUUCACCUUUACUUCUGAUAUGGUUUGGCUCUGUGUGCCCACUCAAAUCUCAUCUU
rnacentral:lncRNA from 1 species